GGAUGUGAGGGCGAUCUGGCUGUGACAUCUGUCACCCCAUUGAUCACCAGGGUUGAUUUGACUGAUCUGGCUGGCUAGGUGGGGUUACCUUCCUCCCUCUCUGCUCCAUGUGCGUCCCUCCCCAAGCUGAGUGCUCAGUCGAAGAGGACCACUCUCCUCGAAUUGAGGAGGACUGGUCUUUGGUCAAGGGUAUACCAGUAGCUGUACUUCCCCGCUAGAACCUCCAAACAAACUCUCAAAAAAGGGGUCAUGUGUGUAAGUAUGUUGCCUGUAUGUAUGUAUGUAUGCCUUAUAU
ensembl:misc_RNA 7SK 7SK RNA